UACAGAGGGUGCGAGCGUUAAUCGGAUUUACUGGGCGUAAAGGGUGCGUAGGCGGCAAUAUGUGUGUGAUGUGAAAGCCCCGAGCUCAACUUGGGAAGUGCAUCGCAAACUGUAUAGCUAGAGUAUAUGAGAGGGUGGCGGAAUUUCCGGUGUAGCGGUGAAAUGCGUAGAGAUCGGAAGGAACGUCGAUGGCGAAGGCAGCCACCUGGCAUAAUACUGACGCUGAGGCACGAAAGCGUGGGGAGCGAACAGG
rnacentral:rRNA from 1 species